GCCAGUUUAUCAAGAUAACUCGUUCCAGAUCCUGAUUGAUACUCGGCAAAGUAAUGUGAACUACAAAGAGAUCACCGUCAACGCCAGGGGGACAGUGUCAGACAUCAUGAUGACCAAGGUGAGAGACAACUAUGUCCCUAAGCUCAGUUGUGGUUUUCUGUGCGUUUUUGUUGUUGUUGUUGUUGUUGUUGUUGUUGUUGUUGUUGUUGUUGUUGUUGUAAUUCUGUCAAACUCUAACGUCCAACUAUACAUUGAAUUUGCCAUAACUAAGGGUAGAUUGGAGGGAGGAGAGAUGAUUUAUGGAAGGAGAGAGAUAAGAACAAAAGGAAGAUAAAAAGAAUUAGAACUUGGAAAACAGACG